rnacentral:rRNA from 1 species
GACGAACGCUGGCGGCGUGCUUAACACAUGCAAGUCGAACGAGGCUCCUUCUUCGGUUGGGGUUCUAGUGGCGAACGGGUGAGUAACACGUGGGCAACCUGCCCCUGGCUCUGGGAUAACUCCAAGAAAUUGGGGCUAAUACCGGAUAUGACCGCUGAUCGCAUGGUCUGGUGGUGGAAAGAUUUAUCGGCUGGGGAUGGGCCCGCGGCCUAUCAGCUUGUUGGUGGGGUAGUGGCCUACCAAGGCGACGACGGGUAGCCGGCCUGAGAGGGUGACCGGCCACACUGGGACUGAGACACGGCCCAGACUCCUACGGGAGGCAGCAGUGGGGAAUAUUGCGCAAUGGGCGAAAGCCUGACGCAGCGACGCCGCGUGGGGAUGACGGCCU